AAUCUAUGACAGGGGCAUAACCUAAGCAUUUCCUUAAAUUUCUCCCAUGACUCGUAGAGCGAUUCCAUGUCCUUCUCGGUAAAACUGGUAAUUUGAUUUUUAUACU